UUUUAGUGGUGACGGAUGAUUCAUUCCCGCGGGAACAGUUGUUGACCAGGCAGCGUGAAACUUUUUCUGUAAAGAGUGCGCAAUGUCCGAAAACGUUUUCGUGGAUAUUCCAAAUAAUGAGCAAACAUAUAAUGCUCCGGAUUGUUUUGCUCCCAGAUUACCUUUGGUUCGUUUGCCCAACGUGCCGAACUUACGCAUCACACCGAUUAUUUUACCAAGUGAAAAUCGACCAGCUAGCACUUCUACAAAACUUGUUGCAUGUAAUGAUGUUUAUACUCCACAUGAUUUGAGACAUAUUUCAAACGAUG